AAGGCAAAAAGCCUCGCCACAAGGCGAAUACUUCCUUCAUAUUAGUCACCAUUGACAUCUUAUUUUGCAGUGGCUUGAUCUAGUUAGUGCUGUCGCAGUCAGAAGUUGGUUGACAAACGUUAGCAUCUGAGCGAGACGUGCUCUGAACAGCAACAGCUGGCCAUCACAAAAGGAAGGAGAUAACCUCCCCCACCACCUUCUGUGUAAGAGUUAAAAUGCACUUUGCUAAAUAACAAAUUUGAUUUAUUUUACUUUCUUAAAAUCUGUGAAUUUUAUCUUUUGAGCUUUUAUUUUGAAGAUCCAGUUUUGUGCGUACGUGACUUCCUCUCCCUCACAUUACUGCCGUUGGAAACGCUACUGGUGCUUUUUCGGAGUCAGAAGUGUACAUAACACCAGAGGACAGCAGAUGUGUGAUUUAUUGUCUUCAGUGGCUCAAUAAUCACUGGAGUUGACGCCAAACAAAAGCCAAGCAGAGUGGCAGCUCAGUGAACGGAAACGCCUCGCUGAUGAGAGGGGUCAGUGGCUGACAGGAAGUCCUCGGUAGCUCAAACUGCCACUCGCUACAAAUGUGCUGGGGUGGAGAAACAGGUCAGAACAAACAACACACCCAACACUGAGGUGAUCAGACCCGACAGCAGAAAACCACCCCAGUCUCUCCUCCAGAUCAAAAAUAUGAAGCUAAGCUGAACAAAAACACUGCCUGAAUAUAAAUACAUUGGAAACUGGAUAAAAAGGGGAAAUUUGUUCCCGUACUCCAUAUUUAGACACAGAUAUGUUUCCUUUUCUUUAUUUCCUGGAGAUAUAUUGUUGGUAAUGACUGUGUCCUGUGUUGUUACACUGAUGAAAAACAAUAAAAAAUGCAUUUAAAUAU